rnacentral:rRNA from 1 species
UACAGGGGGGGCAAGCGUUGUUCGGAAUUACUGGGCGUAAAGGGUCUGUAGGUGGCUUGCUAAGUCAGACGUGAAAUCCCUCAGCUUAACUGGGGAACUGCGUCUGAUACUGGAUGGCUUGAGUUCGGGAGAGGGAUGCGGAAUUCCAGGUGUAGCGGUGAAAUGCGUAGAUAUCUGGAGGAACACCGGUGGCGAAGGCGGCAUCCUGGACCGACACUGACACUGAGGAGCGAAAGCCAGGGGAGCAAACGGG